CAUACCCCUAGCAAUGACCCCACAAUAAUAACAAUCUAAAUAACAUGUUAAUACAGAAACUGGCUGCCCAAUAUGACCACAUUUCCACCAGGUUAAAUUGUAGGGGUGUACCGCUACCCACCAUAUCGAUUGUAGGGGUGUACCAAGACACCACCACACCCCCAGGUUCGGAGCCACCGACGGGCUCGAACCUACCAACCAUGUGCAACACUGCCCAAUCCACACUAAACCUCAG